CGCAAGAGGCCUCCGGCCCGGUAGCUGCACAGUUCCUAUUUCCAAAUGCCUAUGAUUUUUCCAAUCCUGAAGCUUAUGCCUUUUUAUCUUUUCAGGUGGCGCUUCAGAUCAAAGGUGCUCUGCUGCAUGUUAUUCUUCAAACAUCCCUUGCUGUUGGGAAUUGUUUCAUUACUUCACAUGUCUCUACUCUCUUUGCAUUUGUUCCAGAUUGUGAUUUACUCUCACUUUUUCAUGUGCAGCAAAUUCUCCUCGAGACGCACUCUGAUUUCUCUCCCUUGCACUACAGGUCUGGUUCUUAAACCUAGAACUGCAUCAUCUAAUUUUUCUUGCUUGGUUGUGCUAUUCUCAUCUUGGAAAUUGCAUAUCUUGGCUGAUGCAAAGGUUGAUGCGAUCUGGCUUCUGUACAGAAAUAUAACGAAAUUUUGCUCUUAAAUUUUCCAUGUUCCAAUAUACCACAAUAUUGUGUCCGUUAGUUGAUUUUACCUGUAUAUUUCUAUGACAGAUUAUCAAUGUAUAUCUAUGGAUUUUAAGUUUUUCUAUAUAAUAUUUUUCUCCCAUGCAAUCUGAGUGUUAUAUAUACAUCACUAUUUGUUGGUUGAGCCAAGUAACAUACCAGAGAAGAAUUAAAAGAUGCAGUUCGUUCAAUCUGCAGACUAGCAACACGAACAUUACAAACUACAUCUAUAAUUUGGACACAAAGAGGAAUUAUAUGUUCUUCAUAUCAAUAUAUCAUCAAGUAUAACUACAUGCAACAAAUAGACAUGUGUGACUCUGCUAGCUUGAAAGACUGUAUGUAUAUCUUGGAAAUAAUACACUUGACAGGUCUACAUGUGUUCUUGCUUCAAGUUUUGUCUCUAACAUUAUGAAUUAUCUAUACGGUGUAUAGUUUACCGUAAAUGUUAGAUAAGUGAACUGACAAAAAAAUAUAAGAGAUGUGUAAAAGAGGAAAAAAAUAUAUACAACCAUAGAUUUAGCAAGAGAAAACCUGGGCUUAACUCGCUUUGCUUAUUGAACUUAUUACAUUUUGCAAGACGUAUACAGUCACCUUUAGAUGGGUACCAGUGGCGUAUGAUAAAAUUAGUACUAAAACUUAAACAUGUGUUUGGCUGCCUGAUGCACAGUUGGAUAGGAUGGGAAAAGAAAAUAAUUAUUCAACAUAAUCAGUCCCCUUAAUUUGGUUUCCAUCAAGAAAUGUAGACUCGGAUGUAUUCAAACUUCUCCUACUUUCUAUUUUGUCAGUAGUUUGGUGUACUGAAAACAUAGACUUGGAGCAACACAACGAUAUUAUGAUUAUUUGGUACUGCCAUAUAUUUGAAAAUCUUUCUAAAUUAUUCUGGCAUUAUCACCAUUUUCUGUUUAGUCGAUGUAUUAAAUGUUCCUCUAUCAUAUAGAAAUCAUGGAUGUACACCAUCUAUUUAAUUUGUACUGCUAGCAGCAAAGUAAAGUGUGCAGUUUAAUUUGCAUAGUUUGGUAAGCAGCAAGAGUGAAUUUUAUUUAGCCUCAUUUGGUAACCAGCAAAACAACUUACUACUACAACACACACAUUUAUAUAACAUAAUCCUGUCGUAUUUUCAGCUUAGCUUAUCUUUUCAAUCACGGGUCAACAACAGGUACAAAUGGACAACCAAAGUAGCAGGUACUCCUACUGAAAUUGGUAUACCCUAUAUUUUAUUUCACUUCUUACCUUGAUUGAGAAAAUACAUCUAUUUUCUCCAGGAUGUCACCUAAUUCCGCAAACAAUAAUUUUCCAUGUUCUACCAUCAUUUCAAUAAGAGAAGCUCAAAAGAAAUACAGGUGCAAUUGCAAAGAGGAAGAGCACAAAAGACCUGGAGUUUAUAACUGUCUGGUGAUGGCCGGACAUGAAUUUUUAGGACAUGAUGGCACGCGAUGCCGUAAUCCUGGGCGUCCGCAUGCGCAUCAGGAUUACUAAUUAAUAUAGGGCCUUUUGCAAUACGAUGGUAGUAACUCAAUGAUACAUAGAAAUAUACAGCCAUUGGUGGGCAAUGACGCUUUAAAUUCGUAUGGUACAACAUUGCCUGGUAGUUGAGUUCUGGCACCCUGUACAUUCACAGAUGUGUUGAAUUAAAUUGGUGCUGGGUAACUUGAUGGCCUGCAUGUCGGUCUUUGCAGUGAAUUAAAUGCAGCCUGUACUAG
rnacentral:lncRNA from 1 species